rnacentral:rRNA from 1 species
UACGUAGGGGGCAAGCGUUGUCCGGAAUCAUUGGGCGUAAAGCGCACGUAGGCGGUUCAGCAAGUCGGGUGUGAAAGCCCUUGGCUUAACCAAGGAAGUGCAUUCGAAACUACUGGACUUGAAUACUGGAGAGGAUCGCGGAAUUCCCGGUGUAGAGGUGAAAUGCGUAGAUAUCGAGAGGAACACCAGUGGCGAAGGCGAGUCUCUGGACAUUUCCUGACGCUGAGGCACGAAAGCCAGGGGAGCAAACGGG